rnacentral:rRNA from 1 species
GGGCCCGCACAAGCAGCGGAGCGUGUGGUUUAAUUCGAUGCCACACGAAGAACCUUACCAGGGUUUGACAUGCAAGUGGUAGGAAACCGAAAGGUGACCGACCUUCGGGGAGCUUGCACAGGUGCUGCAUGGCUGUCGUCAGCUCGUGUCGUGAGAUGUUCGGUUAAGUCCGCUAACGAGCGCAACCCUCGCUGUGUGUUAUAUGUGUCACACGGGACUGCCGGUCUUAAGCCGGAGGAAGGUGGGAUGAUGUCAAGUCAGCAUGGCCUUUAUAUCCUGGGCUACACACACGCUACAAUGGCCAGCACAGACGGACGCAAAGCCGCGAGGUGGAGCAAAUCCUAAAAAGCCGGUCUCAGUUCGGAUUGCAGGCUGCAAUUCGCCUGCAUGAAGUCGGAAUCGCUAGUAAUCGCAGGUCAGCAGACCGCGGUGAAUACGUUCCCGGGUUUU